rnacentral:rRNA from 1 species
ACGAAGGGGGCUAGCGUUGCUCGGAAUCACUGGGCGUAAAGCGCACGUAGGCGGCUUUCUAAGUCAGGGGUGAAAUCCUGGAGCUCAACUCCAGAACUGCCUUUGAUACUGCAAGGCUUGAGUACAGACGAGGUUGGCGGAAUUGAUGGUGUAGCGGUGAAAUGCAUAGAUACCAUCAAGAACUCCGAUUGCGUAGGCAGCUCACUAGGCUGUAACUGACGCUGAGGCACGAAAGCGUGGGGAGCGAACAGGA